rnacentral:rRNA from 1 species
UACGUAGGCAGCGAGCGUUGUUCGGAAUUACUGGGCGUAAAGAGUGUGUAGGUGGUGAUCUAAGUCUGUCGUGAAAUCUCCCGGCUUAACUGGGAGGGUGCGGCGGAAACUGGAUCGCUAGAGUAUGGGAGAGGUAAGCGGAAUUCCUGGUGUAGCGGUGGAAUGCGCAGAUAUCAGGAAGAACACCGGUGGCGAAGGCGGCUCUCUGGAACGCAACUGACGCUGAGACGCGAAAGCGUGGGGAGCAAACAGG